rnacentral:rRNA from 1 species
GACGAACGCUGGCGGCGUGCCUAAUACAUGCAAGUCGAGCGGAUCUUCAUUAGCUUGCUUUUGAAGAUCAGCGGCGGACGGGUGAGUAACACGUGGGCAACCUGCCUGUAAGACUGGGAUAACUUCGGGAAACCGGAGCUAAUACCGGAUAAUCCUUUUCCUCUCAUGAGGAAAAGCUGAAAGACGGUUUCGGCUGUCACUUACAGAUGGGCCCGCGGCGCAUUAGCUAGUUGGUGAGGUAACGGCUCACCAAGGCGACGAUGCGUAGCCGACCUGAGAGGGAGAUAGGCCACACUGGGACUGAGACACGGCCCAGACUCCUACGGGAGGCAGCAGUAGGGAAUCUUCCGCAAUGGACGAAAGUCUGACGGAGCAACGCCGCGUGAGCGAUGAAGGCCUUCGGGUCGUAAAGCUCUGUUGUCAGGGAAGAACAAGUACCGGAGUAACUGCCGGUACCUUGAUGGUACCUGACCAGAAAGCCACGGCUAACUACGUGCCAGCCGCCGCGGUAACAC